rnacentral:misc_RNA from 1 species
GAAGUCGUUACUCCAACCCUCGGGAGGAGGACGUCGAAGGUGGGGCUGAUGACUGGGGUGAAGUCGUAACAAGGUAUCCGUACCGGAAGGUGCGGAUGGAUCACCUCCUAACAGGGAGACAACACAAUGAUUUUGAUGCCUGAGUGCUUUUAUUCUUAGGCCAAAAUCCUGUCACCUUAGGUCGAUCGGUACCUCAGCGUUGAAGCAACAGAGUUAACAGAGAUGUUGAUGCGUGUUGUGGAGAUGUUCAGUUCCUAAACUUUGUCUAGGUCACACCCCACAAGGGUUGAGUUUUCCUGGGCCAUUAGCUCAGGUGGUUAGAGCGCACCCCUGAUAAGGGUGAGGUCCCUGGUUCAAGUCCAGGAUGGCCCAUUCGGUGUUGGGGGUUUAGCUCAGUUGGUAGAGCGCCUGCUUUGCAAGCAGGAUGUCAGGAGUUCGAGUCUCCUAACCUCCACUGACCGAACUCAAUCUCCGGUUUUGCAUUGAAAGAUGGAGAGCCACUCGAUUGUGAUGUGUGAUUUAGAUGUGUCCGCUGGAUGACCCCAGCUUCCUGUCAUUCCAAAUCAGAGUGAAGGUUUUUACUCGAAUGAAUUUGGUUGAUAAGAUGCUGGGCUCGAAUUCAAAUGAUCAAGCAAUUGGUCGUUUGGGUUUGAAGUCUGGCAGAACCUUGACAACUGCAUAGGUGAGUCUGGAAAAAACAAAGCAUCUUACAGAUGCAUUGUUUUGAAUCUGAUCUUCCGAAAGAGAGAUUGGAUCUAGAACAAUGAAAAUUCUUUUGAGCAAGAGCCGAGACUCUUGAACGUUCUUUGAUUCGUGUCGAGCGAAUCAGAGUUUGAUCUUGUUUUAGGAAUCAGCGAAAGUUGAUGAUUAAACCUUGAGAAUCUGCUUUCAACGGCGGUAAGCGUUCAGGAGAUUAAUUGGUCAAGCUACAAAGGGCUCACGGCGGAUACCUUGGCACACAGAGGCGAUGAA